rnacentral:lncRNA from 1 species
GCCAAGUCCAAGAAUCACACUACACACAACUAGAACAGAAAUGGCAUCAAGAAAACCCUAUGUCAAAGAUGUAAAUCUCUUAAAAGGGUGGGCCCCAAGUUCCUGAGGAACAUGCACUUUGCUAAGAAGCACAAGAAGGGCCAGAAGAAGACGCAGGUCAAUGAUGUCAGGGCCACGAGUGAAUCAACUGAGGCUGUCAGGGCCUUUGUGAAGUCCAAGGAGGUCAAGACCAAGAUCCCAAAGGGCAUUAGGUGCAAACUCAAUCAACUUGCCUGCACUGACCACCCCAAGCUCAGGAAGUGUGCUCAUCCCUGCAUCACCAAGGGUUUCAGGUUCUGCUGGCCAAAGUCAAAGACCAGGGCUCAAACCAAGCACCAGGUGUGGCUCUGUCUCCAGCUCAGGCUCCCAAAUGUGGCCAGGCCUCCACCAAAGCU